rnacentral:rRNA from 1 species
UAGGGAAUCUUCGGCAAUGGACGGAAGUCUGACCGAGCAACGCCGCGUGAGUGAAGAAGGUUUUCGGAUCGUAAAGCUCUGUUGUAAGAGAAGAACGAGUGUGAGAGUGGAAAGUUCACACUGUGACGGUAUCUUACCAGAAAGGGACGGCUAACUACGUGCCAGCAGCCGCGGUAAUACGUAGGUCCCGAGCGUUGUCCGGAUUUAUUGGGCGUAAAGCGAGCGCAGGCGGUUAGAUAAGUCUGAAGUUAAAGGCUGUGGCUUAACCAUAGUAGGCUUUGGAAACUGUUUAACUUGAGUGCAAGAGAGGAGAGUGGAAUUCCAUGUGUAGCGGUGAAAUGCGUAGAUAUAUGGAGGAACACCGGUGGCGAAAGCGGCUCUCUGGCUUGUAACUGACGCUGAGGCUCGAAAGCGUGGGGAGCAAACAGGAUUAGAUACCCUGGUAGUCCACGCUGUAAACGAUGAGUGCUAGGUGUUAGACCCUUUCCGGGGUUUAGUGCCGUAGCUAACGCAUUAAGCACUCCGCCUGGGGAGUACGACCGCAAGGUUG